rnacentral:rRNA from 1 species
CCUACGGGAGGCAGCAGUGGGGAAUAUUGCACAAUGGGCGCAAGCCUGAUGCAGCCAUGCCGCGUGUGUGAAGAAGGCCUUCGGGUUGUAAAGCACUUUCAGCGGGGAGGAAGGCGGUGAGGUUAAUAACCUCAUCGAUUGACGUUACCCGCAGAAGAAGCACCGGCUAACUCCGUGCCAGCAGCCGCGGUAAUACGGAGGGUGCAAGCGUUAAUCGGAAUUACUGGGCGUAAAGCGCACGCAGGCGGUCUGUCAAGUCGGAUGUGAAAUCCCCGGGCUCAACCUGGGAACUGCAUUCGAAACUGGGAGGCUAGAGUCUUGUAGAGGGGGGUAGAAUUCCAGGUGUAGCGGUGAAAUGCGUAGAGAUCUGGAGGAAUACCGGUGGCGAAGGCGGCCCCCUGGACAAAGACUGACGCUCAGGUGCGAAAGCGUGGGGAGCAAACAGGAUUAGAUACCCUAGUAGUC